AUGGGACGGAGCACACCUAACCCUAUAUUGUGUUAGAUAUGGAAGUUAGAUUGUCCGGCUAAAGUCAAUUUUUUAUGGCGGACACUACAUGGUACUCUCCCAUGUCGGGCAACACUCACUAAUAGACACAUGAAGGUCUCGCCCUCUUGCCCUACCUGCUCUCAGGGUGUAGAAGAUAUGAAGCACUUGCUUUUCCUUUGCAGAAAAGCGAAGGAGGUUUGGAAAAGGCUAGGGUUGGAUUUGAUUAUUGAGAGAGCUUGUGAGAUUGAUUGUGCUGGAGAGGCAACAUUGGAAUACCUAUUACUCCUUGCAGAUCAACAUCUGCGCAUUAUGGGGUACGAAAAUGUUCGAGAAAUGAUAGCUAUCUCAGCUUGCUAUCUAUGGUGGGAAAGA
rnacentral:rRNA from 1 species